GCAUCGCGAGUAGCAAUACUUGGCGGCGACCGGCAGACGGGUGCGCAACGCGUAUGCAACCUACCUUAUGCUGGAGCAUAAUUCGGUGAAAAUCGGACUAAUACUUCAUAAUAAUAUCGUUAUGGCAUCAGAGGAUAUUUAAAGAUUUAUCGGCAUUAGAUGGGCAUGCGUAUCAUUAGGUUGUUGGCGAGGUAACGGCUCACCAAGCCUUCGAUGAUUAGGGGUUCUGAGAGGAUUCACCCCCACACCGGCACUGAGACACGGGCCGGACUCCUACGGGAGGCAGCAGUGAGGAAUAUUGGACAAUGGGCGAGAGCCUGAUCCAGCCAUUCCGCGUGCAGGAUGACGGUCCUAUGGAUUGUAAACUGCUUUUUUACAAGAGCAAAAAGGGUUACGUGUAACCCAUUGAGAGUACUGUAAGAAUAAGCAUCGGCUAACUCCGUGCCAGCAGCCGCGUAAUACGGAGGAUGCAAGCGUUAUCCGGAUUUAUUGGGUUUAAAGGGUGCGUAGGCGGUUGAUUAAGUCAGCGGUGAAAUUUUGGGGCUCAACCCCAUUCGUGCCGUUGAUACUGCUUGACUUGAGAGUAAUUGAAGCCGGCGGAAUGUGCAGUGUAGCGGUGAAAUGUUUAGAUAUUGCACAGA
rnacentral:rRNA from 1 species